CCUACGGGAGGCAGCAGUGGGGAAUAUUGCACAAUGGGGGAAACCCUGAUGCAGCGACGCCGCGUGAGUGAAGAAGUAUUUCGGUACGUAGAGCUCUAUCAGCAGGGAAGAAAAUGACGGUACCUGACUAAGAAGCCCCGGCUAACUACGUGCCAGCAGCCGCGGUAAUACGUAGGGGGCAAGCGUUAUCCGGAUUUACUGGGUGUAAAGGGAGCGUAGACGGCAGCGCAAGUCUGGAGUGAAAUCCCAUGGCUUAACCAUGGAACUGCUUUGGAAACUGUGCAGCUAGAGUGCAGGAGAGGUAAGCGGAAUUCCUAGUGUAGCGGUGAAAUGCGUAGAUAUUAGGAGGAACACCAGUGGCGAAGGCGGCUUACUGGACUGUAACUGACGUUGAGGCUCGAAAGCGUGGGGAGCAAACAGGAUUAGAUACCCCAGUAGUC
rnacentral:rRNA from 1 species